rnacentral:rRNA from 1 species
GGGUGAGUAACACGUGGGUAACCUGCCUGUAAGACUGGGAUAACUCCGGGAAACCGGGGCUAAUACCGGAUGGUUGUCUGAACCGCAUGGUUCAGACAUAAAAGGUGGCUUCGGCUACCACUUACAGAUGGACCCGCGGCGCAUUAGCUAGUUGGUGAGGUAACGGCUCACCAAGGCGACGAUGCGUAGCCGACCUGAGAGGGUGAUCGGCCACACUGGGACUGAGACACGGCCCAGACUCCUACGGGAGGCAGCAGUAGGGAAUCUUCCGCAAUGGACGAAAGUCUGACGGAGCAACGCCGCGUGAGUGAUGAAGGUUUUCGGAUCGUAAAGCUCUGUUGUUAGGGAAGAACAAGUGCCGUUCAAAUAGGGCGGCACCUUGACGGUACCUAACCAGAAAGCCACGGCUAACUACGUGCCAGCAGCCGCGGUAAUACGUAGGUGGCAAGCGUUGUCCGGAAUUAUUGGGCGUAAAGGGCUCGCAGGCGGUUUCUUAAGUCUGAUGUGAAAGCCCCCGGCUCAACCGGGGAGGGUCAUUGGAAACUGGGGAACUUGAGUGCAGAAGAGGAGAGUGGAAUUCCACGUGUAGCGGUGAAAUGCGUAGAGAUGUGGAGGAACACCAGUGGCGAAGGCGACUCUCUGGUCUGUAACUGACGCUGAGGAGCGAAAGCGUGGGGAGCGAACAGGAUUAGAUACCCUGGUAGUCCACGCCGUAAACGAUGAGUGCUAAGUGUUAGGGGGUUUCCGCCCCUUAGUGCUGCAGCUAACGCAUUAAGCACUCCGCCUGGGGAGUACGGUCGCAAGACUGAAACUCAAAGGAAUUGACGGGGGCCCGCACAAGCGGUGGAGCAUGUGGUUUAAUUCGAAGCAACGCGAAGAACCUUACCAGGUCUUGACAUCCUCUGACAAUCCUAGAGAUAGGACGUCCCCUUCGGGGGCAGAGUGACAGGUGGUGCAUGGUUGUCGUCAGCUCGUGUCGUGAGAUGUUGGGUUAAGUCCCGCAACGAGCGCAACCCUUGAUCUUAGUUGCCAGCAUUCAGUUGGGCACUCUAAGGUGACUGCCGGUGACAAACCGGAGGAAGGUGGGGAUGACGUCAAAUCAUCAUGCCCCUUAUGACCUGGGCUACACACGUGCUACAAUGGACAGAACAAAGGGCAGCGAAACCGCGAGGUUAAGCCAAUCCCACAAAUCUGUUCUCAGUUCGGAUCGCAGUCUGCAACUCGACUGCGUGAAGCUGGAAUCGCUAGUAAUC